GAAUUUAAAAAAACAUUCAAAACGAAAGAGGAAGUGUUUUGGGAGGAUAAACCAAAUGUGAAGUGUUUUUUGUACAUUGUAGUUUUUUGUUGACUUUACUGUCAUCUGGUUCCCAUAAAUGACACGAAGCAGCCUCUUUUUUCAGUCAUGGGGUGCAGACAGCAGAGAGUGCUUCAGUUUUUGACCUUCGUUUCUUGCCUCUUGGCCUUCACUUCACCUGCUGCAGGUCAGAUCAGACUAGCUGGGUCUGAGUCCACUCAGUGCUCUGGAAGAGUUGAAAUCUAUCACAGUGGCUCCUGGGGAACAGUCUGUGACGAUGGCUGGGGCAUUAAUGAUGCCAAUGUGGUCUGUAGACAGCUGGGUUGUGGGACAGCAGUGGAGGCCACUUCAUCUGCUCGCUUCGGUCAAGGAACUGGAAAAAUCUGGCUUGAUGAUGUGGCCUGUUCAGGAAGUGAAAGUUCUCUAACUGAGUGUGGACACAAUGGAUUUGGGAAACACAACUGUGGACAUGGCGAGGAUGCUGGUGUUGUUUGUUCGGGAUCUCUGAUCAGGUUCGCUGGAUCUACUUCAUGUUCAGGAAGAGUAGAAUUCUACUACAACAGUUCCUGGGGAACAGUCUGUGACGAUGGCUGGGACUUAAAUGAUGCUAAGGUGGUCUGUAGACAGCUGGGUUGUGGGAGAGCAUUGGAGGCCACUUCAUCUGCUCGCUUCGGUCAAGGAACUGGAAAAAUCUGGCUUGAUGAUGUGGCCUGUUCAGGAAGUGAAAGUUCUCUAACUGAGUGUGGACACAAUGGAUUUGGGAAACACAACUGCGGACAUGGCGAGGAUGCUGGUGUUGUUUGUUCGGGAUCUCAGAUCAGGUUCGCUGGAUCUACUUCAUGUUCAGGAAGAGUAGAAUUCUACUACAACAGUUCCUGGGGAACAGUCUGUGACGAUGGCUGGGACUUAAAUGAUGCUAAGGUGGUCUGUAGACAGCUGGGUUGUGGGAGAGCAUUGGAGGCCACUUCAUCUGCUCGCUUUGGUCAAGGAACUGGAAAAAUCUGGCUUGAUAAUGUGGCCUGUUCAGGAAAUGAAAGUUCUCUAACUGAGUGUGGACACAAUGGAUUUGGGAAACACAACUGUGGACAUGGCGAGGAUGCUGGUGUCGUCUGUUCAGUGAGCCUUCCAGAGCCCAGGAUCUCUCUGAAUAGAGAUAAGGUUGCCUGGGGUGAAGAUGUCACCAUUACUUGUUCGAUCUUAUCCGAGUUGCUUGGUGGAACUUUCAUCCUCAAGAAGACCUCAGGCACUUUCAGCCAGACUGCGUCAUCAAGUUCCACAUCUGCUACCUUCAGUAUCCACAAAGUGGACUUAGAUCAUAACGGCUCGUACCAGUGUCAGUAUCAGAAAAACAUUUCAGAGCAAAACUUUUCAUCCUCCCUCAGUGAUGCUGUCAGACUCUCUGUUAACGUGAGUUUCCCGAAACCCCAUAUCGCCAUAAAUCCUGUUGGUGAGGUCACCUGGGGUCAGAACAUUACAAUCACUUGUUCAAUCUCCACUCAGGUUUUGGGUGGAUCGUUCAUUCUGAAGAAAACAUCAGAUUCAUUCAUAAGGACCCAAACUUCUAGUACAAACUCUGCAACAUUCAAUAUCCUCAAAGUGAACUUUGAUAACGAGGGAUUGUACCAGUGUCAGUAUCAGAAAAUGGGCUCAGGUCUUGAAUUUAACUCCCCACCAAGUGACUCUGGUAGGCUCUCUGUGACAGUGAGACUGCAGAGGCCCAGCAUUUCUCUGACGUCUCCUAAUGCAGGACUUUUCUGGGGUCCUGAAGGUGCACAGAUCACCAGGGGUUACAGCUUUGUCCUCACCUGUUCCAUUAACUCCACAUUUUCCAGUGGACAUUUUAUUCUCAGCUUCUCUGGCUCCAACCUCACAGAGCCAGCAGUCAACAACUCAGCCUCCUUUAGUUUCCCUGUAGCUGAGUAUGAACAUCAGGGCAACUACAGCUGUGUGUAUGAGGUCACAGUGUCCACACGGACAUUCACAUCUGCUGUAAUUGCACCGAUUAGUGUCAUCAUUAAAUUCAAUUUGAUGCCGCUGCUGUCCUCAGUAUCUGUUGGACUCCUGCUGCUGCUCCUGCUGCUGCUAUUAUUAGUAGGGCUGACGCGCAGGAGAAGACAACGACGAGCCAAGAAGCCUGUAGCUCUCAUCCACAGUCAAAUGGCUGUCCGAGUCGGGAAUGCUUACAAGUAUGGAGGUGAAGAUGAUGAUGAGGAUGAUGAGGAGGACUCUGUGAAUGUUGAUCUAGUGGACACUAAUGAAAAAAUCAAAGGAGGAGCUCCUGGACUGGAUGAAGACGAUGAAGAUUAUGAGGACCUAAUGAGUGAUGAUGAUCACGAUUAUGAGGAAGCAGGCCCUAAUGACAAAAAGUCCAAGGAGGCCUGUGUGAGUGUAGACUGUCACAGACAAGAUGAGGAAGAAACUAGUGAUGAAGAGGAAACUAGUGAUGAAGACGAAACUAGUGAUGAAGAAAACAACUAUGAGAAUGUAUCCCCGCCUUCAACAAGUGUGGAUAAUAAGGAAGAAGAGGAAACUAGUGAUGAAGAAAACAACUAUGAGAAUGUAUCCCCACCUUCAGCAAGUGUGGGCAAGAAGGAAGAAGAGGAAACUAGUGAUGAAGAAAACAAUUAUGAGAAUGUAUCCCCGCCUUCAACAAGUGUGGAUAAUAAGGAAGAAGAGGAAACUAGUGAUGAAGAAAACAACUAUGAGAAUGUAUCCCCGCCUUCAGCAAGUGUGGACAAUAAGGAAGAAGAGGAAACUAGUGAUGAAGAAAACAACUAUGAGAAUGUAUCCCCGCCUUCAGCAAGUGUGGACAAUAAGGAAGAAGAGGAAACUAGUGAUGAAGAAAACAACUAUGAGAAUGUAUCCCCGCCUUCAGCAAGUGUGGGCAAUAAGGAAGAAGAGGAAACUAGUGAUGAAGAAAACAACUAUGAGAAUGUAUCCCCGCCUUCAGCAAGUGUGGACAAUAAGGAAGAAGAGGAAACUAGUGAUGAAGAAAACAACUAUGAGAAUGUAUCUUUACCACAACCAGUUCAUUAUCAUUCGUAAUGAGCUCUCGUCCUUUUGUAUGAAAUGGUAAAUGGACUUGUUCUUCUAAAGCUCUUUUAUGCUCUGAGCACUCAAAGCGCUUUAGGCAACUUGCCUCAUUCACCAUUUAUACAAGCACUUUUGAUGCUUAAGUGUUUUCUAUCUAACACUGACACACAUUCAUACUCCAGUGGAUGCAUCAGAAAGCAACUUGAGGUCAGUAUAUGUAUUUAACAUGCAGACUGUGGGAGCCAAGGAUCGAACCAACCUUCCGAUUAGUAGAUGACCUGCUCUAGCUUCACCCACUCCUUUUCCAUGCAC